rnacentral:rRNA from 1 species
GAUGAACGCUGGCGGCGUGACUAAUACAUGCCAGUCGAGCGAACGGACGAGAAGCUUGCUUCUCUGAUGUUAGCGGCGGACGGGUGAGUAACACGUGGAUAACCUACCUAUAAGACUGGGAUAACUUCGGGAAACCGGAGCUAAUACCGGAUAAUAUUUUGAACCGCAUGGUUCAAAAGUGAAAGACGGUCUUGCUGUCACUUAUAGAUGGAUCCGCGCUGCAUUAGCUAGUUGGUAAGGUAACGGCUUACCAAGGCAACGAUGCAUAGCCGACCUGAGAGGGUGAUCGGCCACACUGGAACUGAGACACGGUCCAGACUCCUACGGGAGGCAGCAGUAGGGAAUCUUCCGCAAUGGGCGAAAGCCUGACGGAGCAACGCCGCGUGAGUGAUGAAGGUCUUCGGAUCGUAAAACUCUGUUAUUAGGGAAGAACAUAUGUGUAAGUAACUGUGCACAUCUUGACGGUACCUAAUCAGAAAGCCACGGCUAACUACGUG